GCAGCAAGAAAGAAGGAAAAGAUCUCUGAAGGUGGUGUCAUUUGCUGAUGUGGCUGUGGACUUCAGCUGGGAGGAAUGGCAGGACCUAGACAUUGCUCAGAGGACCCUGUACAGAGAUGUUAUGCUGGAGACCUACAGCAACCUGGUGUCCUUGGGGUACUGUGUUCCUAAACCUAAAUUAAUUGUCAAGCCGGAACGAGAAC